UCCUACGGGAGGCAGCAGUCCGGAAUAUUGCACAAUGGGCGCAAGCCUGAAGCAGCCAUGCCGCGUGUCUGAAGAAGGCCUUCGGGUUGUAAAGUACUUUCAGCGAGGAGGAAGGCGUUAAGGUU
rnacentral:rRNA from 1 species